GGUGGUUCUCAGGUGACAAACCCCAGAAGCGGGCUCCCUCCUCUUUGGUUCUGGGUGGGUCACCUGAGAACUGAA
rfam:Myotis davidii contig173836, whole genome shotgun sequence.